rnacentral:lncRNA from 1 species
CGCCUGUUAAUUUCGGAACCUGCACAUCGAAAUGAAGGCUUACACGCUACUUGAUCAGAAGUGGCAGUCCUACUCUUCCCUUCUUUUUCCAAGGAACACUGAUGUUGGGACUUUGGAAGGGUUAGAACUGAUCUGACACCUUCAUUCACCUUCUGUCUGACGUCUCACAGGUUGGUUGGAUCACUCGAGGAACCCGAACCACACACAAUAGAAUUCCUUCCAUCCACGAAGACCCAAGCCCAUAAGUCUGCUCCGGAUCCAAGCUCAGAGUUGUCGGGGACUGCACUUGCUGAUUAACAAAUUAUGGAACUCCACAGAUAACCCCAGACAUACUCCCUCACCAUGACACAUGCAUCCAAGAGUGCGUGAUGCACAAUUAUCAUCUUCUCUUCGUUGGGCUUGCAUUCUAUGGGGUAUUGUUCUAAUCCUGACACUUCUCAUACCUAGUUUACAUAUGGUACAUAUGCAUGGCCACUAUCAACACUAAUAGGGAGAUAGACUCUCUAUAUAUAUCUUCCAUUUUGUCCUUUUAAACUUCUACUAGGCAGCUGCAAUUUUGUUUUUUUUUCAUUUUAGAUUUUAUGGUUUCUGGUUUAGCAUUUUCCCCUUGCAAUGCAUAUAUAAUGAGGGUCUGGAUUAAAAUUUGUACACGUAGAAGGAAAUGAAGAAAAAAGCAUUUACAAUAUCAGUUUCCCGGCAGUCACAACGAUGGGCCUCUUUCUUUACAGUCCUGAUGCAGUUAAUUAACGCACCUCUGCACCAGGUAAAUUGUCUCCCUUUCUUUGUAAAAGGCAUAUUAGGAUUUAAGAAUAGUCUUUAAAAAUGUUCUCUGGCCAUCAGUUAAUCACUAUAGAAAUAAAUUUGUAUUGAAAGAUAUAUGAAAUGAGAAUCUAUUAACAUUUCUUUUCCGCACCAGGUAGGAACAAAACUGGAGUAACAAGUCCACCAACCUGUGUUCCCGCACAGUCUUGUUAUUGUUGAAUGGCUCAGACUAAUAAAAACUAAUUAUAUUAAACUACAUUUUGUUCAAUUUGUUGAUUUGGACAACACAAUUGGAAUAAUAUGUAGCUGUUCCUAUCAAAUUGUUAUAAACUUAUCAAUUACUCACUUCUAUACUACAUCGCUGGUGCCACCUGCGACGGGUCAAAGUGGGUAGUAAUUAAUCACUGCUAGCUCUAUUCUCAGCCCGUAGUGAUAAUGGAUUAUCCUCUUUUUUAGAUAAAGGAUAGUUCGUUCCCAGCUUUAUCUACCAACAGGUAGAUUUAGAGUAAUUAUUACAACCGGCCCGUAUAUACGUCUAAUCAGUUCUGGUCAUAUAUACGUCGAAUAAACCAGAUAAGGCAGGCUAUAGAACCUAUAUGUGCCCACGCAUGAAAAAAUGUAUGUCUUGCUCCUAGAGCGAAUUAAAAAUAAUAAUACAUAGACAAAAUCUUUACAUCUUGGAACAAUUAUAGGGAUUGGAGAGGUAUUGGGACAUUGAGGCACUAUAUAUGCAGAAGUUUCGGUGUUUCUAAAAUCUAUGCAGGGCACCCAAGAUGAGACCAAUCACAGUUUCUCAGUCUGAUUUACAGAAAAAUCCCAGCAUGAAGUCAGUAUGCCUCAGUAUUGCACCCUUGUUUGGGACUAAUGGGUGUCCCUGAAUCCAUCGCAUCUCCAGAGGUCCACUGGGAGCUUAAAUGCAUCAUUGACCGAUCGAGCCAUUUUUCAAAAGAAGGCUGGUGAGAUGGCAGGAGGUGAUGAGAUGGAUAAAUAUAUGUUCGUGUUUGUGGGGAGACAACUGGGUGCGCGACAUCAUUAGAUGCUGUAGAGCAAGAUACCUAUAGGCAUGGCCUUCAUUUUUGUUGGGCUUCUCUUUGCUUCAUUUUACUUAUUUAUGAAACAAAGAAUGUAAGCAAGCAGCCUCAGGCAUACUCCUUUUAUUGACACGGGAAUUGUUGUUUGCUGUCGGCCUCCUCAAGCUAUGCUAUAUAGGCUCAAAUUCAGUCAUGGCUAGAAUAAGGCUUGGCUUGGUCACAGCAAAGGGAUAGUCUCCAUGACCCAGAUAAGACCCAUGCCUAGAUUGCAUAGUAAUCUAUGGGUAUGUCUACUUGAUCCAGAUGAUAAUUCGUUUUUUUAAUUCAAGAAAAUAAUAAGAAUUUCAGUGCACUUUAAUCCCCUACUAGCUAGGAGGAGACAAUAUUAUUGUAGCAUCUCCCGUAGAAGUUACCAUUCCAAGUGAAAAUGGACCUAGGAUGAUUUGUGAACAAGAGAAAACAUGACGCUGCAUGUUGAGAAGUUGCAAUUCACUCAUGUAAAAUAACAUUGGAGAUAUUAAUUACACACUACAAUAGAAAUGACUUUUACAUGAUCCUCCUUUUUUUAUGCAUGGAUGGUUCGUAUAGUAUACUGCCUC